AUGAUACUUCCUUCGUUUUGAAUUACUUAUCGCAUGUAUGGAUGUAUUUAGAUGUAUUUUAGGUCUAGAUACAUCCAUUUCUGUGAUGAGUAAUUUGAAACGGAAGGAGUAGGCA
rnacentral:pre_miRNA from 1 species